rnacentral:lncRNA from 1 species
AAGACAAUGACAACUACAGUUACCAUGACAACACUCACUGUGGACUGACUCCUGCCUCAAGGCUGUUCCAUCUGCUAUCAGUGAAUCCCCGCCAUGCCCUAGGAAGGUGCACGUGGCUGUUAUUCCCAUUUCUGUGAAACAGGAAAGCACAGUGAGGUUCAUGUCACAUCCUCAGGUCUCAGAGCUCAGGUUGGUAAGCACUGGAGCCAG